GAAAGAAAGAGGGGGAGAGCACGGCUGAGAGAAAGAGAGAGAGAGAGACCGAGAGGAAGAAAGAGAAGGGAAGAAGAAGGCUUUGUGGCAUAUCAAAACUCAAGUUAAAAAUUAUGGAAAAUUCAUCUUAAGGUGGACGUCUGAGGCCUUAUAUCAACUUAACCCACUGUGAGCAAACUAAGCAACAAGGAUUGAGGAAGCCUCGGAGUCUACCUGUGUCAGCCUUUUAAAGAGCUUUCGGAAUGGAGCAAGUUAGGCUCGAGUAGAGCCAAGUGACUAGGCUCGUGACCAGGCUUAAGAUGAUACCUGAAGAAUUUUGGGUUUGUCAGCCACCUUUUGCGCCUCCUGAGGAGGUUCCGGAUUAAGUCAAGUCUUGUGGCUAUGUUUUGUGAAUAUUUAAGACUUUGUUUCUUUUGGCUUACGAACAAAAUUUUUGUUUAUAUGUACAUGGGAUGACGUAUAACUUCUGUACCUUUAUGACGUCAUAUGUAUGCUUUUAAAUUUAAAAUUAUAUGUCCCAUGUAUGUCUGCACAGCUCGAUGGACUAUGUACAUUUAUAUAUAUUUGC